rnacentral:tRNA from 4 species
GGCCCCAUCGUCUAAGCGGCUAGGACACAGUGCUUUCAAUACUGUAAUACGGGUUCAAACCCCGUUGGGGCUA